GGGGGUGAAGGAACUAGGCAAAAUGGCACCGUAACUUCGGGAGAAGGUGCACCGCCUUUGGUGAUGGGAUUUACUCCCUAAGCUGAGGGCGGUCGAAGAUACCAGGCCCCUGCAACUGUUUACUAAAAACACAGCACUCUGCAAACACGUAAGUGGACGUAUAGGGUGUGACGCCUGCCCGGUGCCGGAAGGUUAAUUGAUGGGGUUAGCGCAAGCGAAGCUCUUGAUCGAAGCCCCGGUAAACGGCGGCCGUAACCAUAACGGUCCUAAGGUAGCGAAAUUCCUUGUCGGGUAAGUUCCGACCUGCACGAAUGGCGUAAUGAUGGGGGCGCUGUCUCCACCCGAGACUCAGUGAAAUUGAAAUCGCGGUUAAGAUGCCGUGUACCCGCGGCUAGACGGAAAGACCCCGUGAACCUUUACUAUAGCUUUGCACUGAACUUUGAACCUAUCUGUGUAGGAUAGGUGGGAGGCUUUGAAGUCGAGACGCUAGUUUCGAUGGAGCCGUCCUUGAAAUACCACCCUGGUAUGUUUGAGGUUCUAACGUCGGCCCCUUAUCGGGGUUACGGACAGUGUAUGGUGGGUAGUUUGACUGGGGCGGUCUCCUCCCAAAGAGUAACGGAGGAGCACGAAGGUGUGCUAAUCAUGGUCGGAAAUCAUGAGGUUAGUGUAAAGGCAAAAGCACGCUUGACUGCGAGACAGACAUGUCGAGCAGGUACGAAAGUAGGUCUUAGUGAUCCGGUGGUUCUGUAUGGAAGGGCCAUCGCUCAACGGAUAAAAGGUACUCCGGGGAUAACAGGCUGAUACCGCCCAAGAGUUCACAUCGACGGCGGUGUUUGGCACCUCGAUGUCGGCUCAUCACAUCCUGGGGCUGAAGCCGGUCCCAAGGGUAUGGCUGUUCGCCAUUUAAAGUGGUACGCGAGCUGGGUUUAGAACGUCGUGAGACAGUUCGGUCCCUAUCUGCCGUGGGCGUUGGAGAUUUGAGAAGAGUUGUUCCUAGUACGAGAGGACCGGAAUGAACGAACCUCUGGUGUUCGGGUUGUCAUGCCAAUGGCAUUGCCCGGUAGCUACGUUCGGACGGGAUAACCGCUGAAAGCAUCUAAGCGGGAAGCCUCCUUCAAGAUGAGAUCUCCCUGGGACUUUAAGUCCCCUAAAGAGCCGUUGAAGACUACGACGUUGAUAGGUUGGGUGUGGAAGCGCAGCGAUGCGUUGAGCUAACCAAUACUAAUUGCUCGUGCGGCUUGACCA
rnacentral:rRNA from 1 species